rnacentral:rRNA from 1 species
CCCUUAGAUGUUCUGGGCCGCACGCGUGCUACACUGACCGGCGCAACAAGCUUUUUUCCUUGGCUCGACAGGCCUGGGUAAUCUUCGAACGCUGUUCGUGAUUGGGAUAGACCUUUGCAAUUAUGGGUCUUCAACGAGGAAUUCCUAGUAAACGCAAGUCAUCAGCUUGCAUUGAUUACGUCCCUGCCCUUUGUACACACCGCCCGUCGCACCUACCGAUUGAAUGGUCCGGUGAAAUCUCGGGACGGCGGCUUGGUCGCUUGCGUCCGACUGCUGAAACUUGAUUAAACCAUAUCAUUUAGAGGAAGGUGAAGUCGUAACA